UACAGAGGGUGCGAGCGUUGUCCGGAAUCAUUGGGCGUAAAGCGCGCGUAGGCGGCCCGAUAAGUCCGUCGUGAAAGUCAAAGGCUCAACCUUUGAAUGUCGAUGGAUACUGUCGGGCUAGAGUCCGGAAGAGGCGAGUGGAAUUCCUGGUGUAGCGGUGGAAUGCGCAGAUAUCAGGAGGAACACCAAUAGCGAAGGCAGCUCGCUGGGACGGUACUGACGCUAAGGCGCGAAAGCGUGGGGAGCGAACAGG
rnacentral:rRNA from 1 species